rnacentral:rRNA from 1 species
AUAGGUUAACGAGGCGAACCGGGGGAACUGAAACAUCUAAGUACCCCGAGGAAAAGAAAUCAACCGAGAUUCCCCCAGUAGCGGCGAGCGAACGGGGAGCAGCCCAGAGUCUGAAUCAGCUUGUGUGUUAGUGGAACGGUCUGGAAAGUCCGACGGUACAGGGUGAUAGUCCCGUACACCAAAAUGCACAGGCUGUGAACUCGAAGAGUAGGGCGGGACACGUGGUAUCCUGUCUGAAUAUGGGGGGACCAUCCUCCAAGGCUAAAUACUCCUGACUGACCGAUAGUGAACCAGUACCGUGAGGGAAAGGCGAAAAGAACCCCGGCGAGGGGAGUGAAAAAGAACCUGAAACCGUGUACGUACAAGCAGUGGGAGCACCUUCGGGUGUGACUGCGUACCUUUUGUAUAAUGGGUCAGCGACUUAUAUUCUGUAGCAAGGUUAACCGUAUAGGGGAGCCGCAGGGAAACCGAGUCUUAACUGGGCGUUAAGUUGCAGGGUAUAGACCCGAAACCCGGUGAUCUAGCCAUGGGCAGGUUGAAGGUUGGGUAACACUAACUGGAGGACCGAACCGACUAAUGUUGAAAAAUUAGCGGAUGACUUGUGGCUGGGGGUGAAAGGCCAAUCAAACCGGGAGAUAGCUGGUUCUCCCCGAAAGCUAUUUAGGUAGCGCCUCGUGAACUCAUCUUCGGGGGUAGAGCACUGUUUCGGCUAGGGGGUCAUCCCGACUUACCAACCCGAUGCAAACUACGAAUACCGAAGAAUGUUAUCACGGGAGACACACGGCGGGUGCUAACGUCCGUCGUGAAGAGGGAAACAACCCAGACCGCCAGCUAAGGUCCCAAAGUCAUGGUUAAGUGGGAAACGAUGUGGGAAGGCACAGACAGCCAGGAUGUUGGCUUAGAAGCAGCCAUCAUUUAAAGAAAGCGUAAUAGCUCACUGGUCGAGUCGGCCUGCGCGGAAGAUGUAACGGGGCUAAACCAUGCACCGAAGCUGCGGCAGCGACACUAUGUGUUGUUGGGUAGGGGAGCGUUCUGUAAGCCUGCGAAGGUGUGCUGUGAGGCAUGCUGGAGGUAUCAGAAGUGCGAAUGCUGACAUAAGUAACGAUAAAGCGGGUGAAAAGCCCGCUCGCCGGAAGACCAAGGGUUCCUGUCCAACGUUAAUCGGGGCAGGGUGAGUCGACCCCUAAGGCGAGGCCGAAAGGCGUAGUCGAUGGGAAACAGGUUAAUAUUCCUGUACUUGGUGUUACUGCGAAGGGGGGACGGAGAAGGCUAUGUUAGCCGGGCGACGGUUGUCCCGGUUUAAGCAUGUAGGCUGAUUGUCCAGGCAAAUCCGGAUAAUCAAGGCUGAGGUGUGAUGACGAGGCACUACGGUGCUGAAGUAACAAAUGCCCUGCUUCCAGGAAAAGCCUCUAAGCAUCAGGUAACAUCAAAUCGUACCCCAAACCGACACAGGUGGUCAGGUAGAGAAUACCAAGGCGCUUGAGAGAACUCGGGUGAAGGAACUAGGCAAAAUGGUGCCGUAACUUCGGGAGAAGGCACGCUGGUGUGUAGGUGAAGUCCCUGCGGAUGGAGCUGAGACCAGUCGAAGAUACCAGCUGGCUGCAACUGUUUAUUAAAAACACAGCACUGUGCAAACACGAAAGUGGACGUAUACGGUGUGACGCCUGCCCGGUGCCGGAAGGUUAAUUGAUGGGGUUAUCCGUAAGGAGAAGCUCUUGAUCGAAGCCCCGGUAAACGGCGGCCGUAACUAUAACGGUCCUAAGGUAGCGAAAUUCCUUGUCGGGUAAGUUCCGACCUGCACGAAUGGCGUAAUGAUGGCCAGGCUGUCUCCACCCGAGACUCAGUGAAAUUGAACUCGCUGUGAAGAUGCAGUGUACCCGCGGCAAGACGGAAAGACCCCGUGAACCUUUACUAUAGCUUGACACUGAACAUUGAGCCUUGAUGUGUAGGAUAGGUGGGAGGCUUUGAAGCGUGGACGCCAGUCUGCGUGGAGCCAACCUUGAAAUACCACCCUUUAAUGUUUGAUGUUCUAACGUUGGCCCCUGACCGGGGUUGCGGACAGUGUCUGGUGGGUAGUUUGACUGGGGCGGUCUCCUCCCAAAGCGUAACGGAGGAGCACGAAGGUUAGCUAAUCCUGGUCGGACAUCAGGAGGUUAGUGCAAUGGCAUAAGCUAGCUUGACUGCGAGCGUGACGGCGCGAGCAGGUGCGAAAGCAGGUCAUAGUGAUCCGGUGGUUCUGAAUGGAAGGGCCAUCGCUCAACGGAUAAAAGGUACUCCGGGGAUAACAGGCUGAUACCGCCCAAGAGUUCAUAUCGACGGCGGUGUUUGGCACCUCGAUGUCGGCUCAUCACAUCCUGGGGCUGAAGUAGGUCCCAAGGGUAUGGCUGUUCGCCAUUUAAAGUGGUACGCGAGCUGGGUUUAGAACGUCGUGAGACAGUUCGGUCCCUAUCUGCCGUGGGCGCUGGAGAAUUGAGGGGGGCUGCUCCUAGUACGAGAGGACCGGAGUGGACGCAUCACUGGUGUUCGGGUUGUCAUGCCAAUGGCACUGCCCGGUAGCUAAAUGCGGAAGAGAUAAGUGCUGAAAGCAUCUAAGCACGAAACUUGCCCCGAGAUGAGUUCUCCCUGAGACUUUAAGUCUCCUGAAGGAACGUUGAAGACGACGACGUUGAUAGGCCGGGUGUGUAAGCGCAGCGAUGCGUUGAGCUAACCGGUACUAAUGAACCGUGAGGCUUAACCUUACAACGCCGAAG